rnacentral:rRNA from 1 species
GCUCCAAUAGCGUAUAUUUAAGUUGUUGCAGUUAAAAAGCUCGUAGUUGGAUUUCGGUUGAGAGCGGCCGGUCCGCCGUUUGGUGUGCACUGGCUGGUUUCAACUUCCUGCGGAGGACGCGCUCUGGGCUUAACGGUCUGGACGUGGAGUCCGCGUGGUUACUUUGAAAAAAUUAGAGUGUUCAAAGCUGGGACUUGACG